GUGGGGGAUAUUGCACAAUGGAGGAAACUCUGAUGCAGCGACGCCGCGUGAGUGAAGAAGUAUUUCGGUAUGUAAAGCUCUAUCAGCAGGGAAGAUAAUGACAGUACCUGACUAAGAAGCACCGGCUAACUAAGUGCCAGCAGCCGCGGUAAUACGUAGGGGGCAAGCGUUAUCCGGAUUUACUGGGUGGAAAGGGAGCGUAGACGGAAUGGCAGGUCUAAAGUGAAAUCCUGCGGCUUAACUGCAGAAUUGCUUUGGAAACUGUCAAUCUGGAGUGUUGGAGAGGUAAGCGGAAUUCCUGGUGUAGCGGUGAAAUGCGUAGAUAUCAGGAAGAACACCGGAGGCGAAGGCGGCUUACUGGACAAUAACUGACGUUGAGGCUCGAAAGCGUGGGAAGCAAACAGGAUUAGAAACCCGGGUAGUCC
rnacentral:rRNA from 1 species